AACGAACGCUGGCGGCGUGGAUAAGACAUGCAAGUCGAACGGGAACUGGCGGGUAGCAAUAUCUUCCAGUUCUAGUGGCGAAAGGGUGCGUAACACGUGGGUAAUUUGCCUUGAAGUUGGGGAUAACUUGCCGAAAGGUGAGCUAAUACCGAAUGUGGUCUCUCGGCGGCAUCACCGAGAAUCCAAAGCUGGGGAUCUUCGGACCUGGCGCUUCAAGAUAAGCCCGCGGCCUAUCAGCUUGUUGGUGAGGUAAAAGCUCACCAAGGCAAUGACGGGUAACUGGUCUGAGAGGACGAUCAGUCACACUGGAACUGAGACACGGUCCAGACACCUACGGGUGGCAGCAGUCGAGAAUCAUUCACAAUGGGCGAAAGCCUGAUGGUGCGACGCCGCGUGGGGGAUGAAGGUCUUCGGAUCGUAAACCCCUGUCAUCUGUGAGCAAUGUCUUUCAAUUAAUAGUUGAAAGAUUUGAUAGUAGCAGAAGAGGAAGGGACGGCUAACUCCGUGCCAGCAGCCGCGGUAAUACGGAGGUCCCAAGCGUUGUUCGGAUUCACUGGGCGUAAAGGGUGCGUAGGUGGUUGAGACAGUUUGAUGUGAAAGCUCCGGGCUCAACCCGGAAAAUGCAUUGAAUACUACUUGACUAGAGGAUCGGAGGGGAAAGUGGAAUUCUUGGUGUAGCAGUGAAAUGCAUAGAUAUCAAGAGGAACAUCAGUGGCGAAGGCGACUUUCUGGACGAUUCCUGACACUGAGGCACGAAGGCUAGGGGAGCAAACAGGAUUAGAUACCCUGGUAGUCCUAGCAGUAAACGGUGCGCGCUUGCUGUAGGCGGAUUCGACCCCGUCUGUGGCGUAGCUAACGCGUUAAGCGCGCCGCCUGGGGAGUACGGCCGCAAGGUUAAAACUCAAAGAAAUUGACGGGGGCCUGCACAAGCGGUGGAGUAUGUGGCUUAAUUCGAUGCAACGCGAAGAACCUUACCUGGCCUUGACAUGCAUCUCUAAGCGUGUGAAAGCACGCGAGCU
rnacentral:rRNA from 1 species